AUAUAAAGAAAAGACGAACAGCUCAGUAACUCUUAUUUUAUUUGAUGUAUUAGGAUUAUAACUAUGUUAAAUUAUAGAUAACAAUAAUACAAUAAGAAUAAGAUCUAUCAGUUAGUUGUUAAGGUAAUGGCUUAACAAGACUAUGACGGAUAACGGUAUUACUUUGUAAUAUUCCGGAGAAGGAGCCUGAGAGAUUGCUACUAAGUCUAAGGAUUGCAGCAGGGGCGAAACUUGACCUAUGAUAUGAUAUUGAGGCAGUUAUGAGUAGUAUUUUUAAUUAUUGUAGUAUUGUAAGUAUAUACUACAAGAUAAAUCGGAGGGCAAAUCGAGU
rnacentral:rRNA from 1 species